rnacentral:lncRNA from 1 species
GGUCGGACGAGGAAGAGGCCAAGACCCACCGGGAGGCGGUGCAGGGCGUCGUGGACGAGAUGGUGGCGCGAAUGCAGGGCAGGGUCGACGACGACGAAGCCGCUGCUGAGGAGGUUGCCGGAGAAGCCCCCGAUGCCGAGGAUGCCCCUGACACCGAAGUAGCCGCCCCUGGAGCACCUCCCGCGUAGUUCCCUUCGUUCUCUUUUUUCUUUUUCAUUUCCUUGCAAGUGGCGCGUGGCGCAUUAGAACUUUUUUUUACGUUAGCUUUCCCUUGUCAUUAUCAGAGUUACUCGUCAACUUAUUUUGCCCAAGCUUUAAUAUAUAUCCGAUGCUUUUUUCAUUUGCUUCUUUGCUUAAGACUAGCUUGUCGGGGAGGGGCUCUGUCCUUCCCGUGUUUUAGCCUUGCGUACCCGG